CUUAACAACCUUGAGGUAGGCAUUUCAUCAACCACAAGGAACCACGUUCUGAGCCUCGGUCUUUGUCCUUGAUUGAAAGGGACAAACUUUGAGCCACUAUAAAGUUUUCCUGGAGUCCACGGACCCCACGGUGAGCAAACAACAGGGGAAUCGACCUCAUCAGAGCCACUAGGCAACUACCCCGCAGAGCACUCAGAGCAAGGAUCACAAUCUGCUGCAUAUGCAUGAGGGGGCCAUGGGCCCGAGGUUCGGGGCUGCCCACGCUGUGCCUGACUAAAAAUUCUUUGGGCUUGAAGGCCUUGGCUCCCCAUAAUUUUAUUUAAGUACGUAGGAAGUAUCUAAAGGACUGUCCAAGGCGGAUGCUCAGGGCAGAGCGGCAAAGAGCCACCCACUUGGGACACUCUGAUCAGGCGUCUGCCAUAGAUAGCCCGAUCGGGGUCCUCGGGCCGCUCGCCUAGAAGACCGAGGGGGCGUCUCCCCAGCUCCUGCGGCGUCGGUGGCGAGCUGAGGCGGAGGCCAGCUUGCAGCAGUGACGGCGACGGCGACAGUGGCGGCGGCGCCAUGGCGGGGCUCGCAGCUCUAGCAUCACAUCCUCAGAAGCCUGGAUCCCUCGGACAGUGUUGAUUCGGGCAUGGAGACCCCAGACUGCAUCAAGUUUGCGUUUCAGAGCAUGGAAGGAUCAUGAAGACGGCUGCAGCUCCACAAAGGUGGCCUUGGCAGGAGUUGGUUCAGAUGAUACUGUCGCAGAUGAUGAAAUGCCUUGGCAGAGCCAUGCAGGUAUUUCGGUACAGUUCCCUGUGUCUAGUCUCUUCAUGCUGUUGGUCUGUCACCGCUGAGCCAAUGCCAUAUUUUAAUGAGCAGAGCUUUGUAUAGUGUCUUAAUAUCAGAUAUGGUGGUGUCCACGCCAGAGGUGCUUCUGAGCCCUGCACCCUACAGGACUGGCUUCGAGUGGCCGCCCACAUCUGCGUUCGCUCCAGUGCUCCUCAACUGGUUGGAACCAAUUUUACCGCCUUUUAUUGAGUUGUUUUCUAUUGACUGACUAUUGAAAUGCUUCCAGUGCUCUUCAUUAAGAUGCCCCUCCAGGAAUAGCCUGGCAUUGCCCCUUCUGCUCAUAUGAGAGUAUUUUUCUGAGACAGAGCCUUAGAACUGUGGGGCCACAGGGAAGACACCUCCUAAAUUCAGACAGAAACAGAUAAAAUGUCCUUCAAAGAGUCUUUCCAAUUCACUCUGCUGCCAGAACUGCUCCAAGGUUAAUGUUUCCACCAACAGGGUAAUGAAAAUAAAUCUCGUUAGUGUGUAUUUUUCUGCAUCACUAGUAAGGCGGAAGUUUCUGUUGACUUUCAUUCAUACUUUCUUCGAUGACUUGCUUGUCUGUAUUCUGUGUCCCGUGCUUUCUUUUCUUUCAUUUUUCUGAGAAAACGAAAGUCUCUCUAUGUAGUCUGUGCUGGCCUCAAACUUGAGAUCCUCCUGCGUCAGUCUCCCAAGUACUAGGAUUGCAGAUGGGCCGCCAUAUCCUGCUUGCUCCCUUCCUUCUUUCCUCCCUCCCUUUUAAAGCUAUUUUUUCUUUUCUUGGUUCCUCUUUAUGUAUUUCACGUAUCUCAUAUUCUAGCGCUUUGUUGUAGUUAAUGCCAAAGUUUUCCACAUCGUGCUUUUUUGCCAUUUAAUUGAAUUGCUUUUAGAGAAAUUUAAAAUUUGAUCCAAUCAUAUGUGUCAUAUAUAAAGAACAAAUUCUACAUGCAUGAACCUUACCAUCACCCCUCCUCAACACUAAUUGUCUCAGCACUGUCUAUGGAUGGUAGACGACUUCACUGAUUUAAACUUACUACCUUCAUCUGCCACCACCCCCAUGUGGUAUGUGUCAGGCUGUCUCUGGCCCUCCGAUGUGCCCGUCUGUUCUCAGGCCUGAUGAUGAGCUUUGAUACCAGUCAGGACAGAUUGAUCUGCUUUGUUGCUUUUAUAGAAUCAUUUCGGUCGUUCUUGCAUGGUAGCCCUUCCACGUUGAUUUUUUAAUUAGCCUGUCAAGUUUCAAGAAAAAUUUUGCUAGGAAAUUUUGUCAGGGUUACACUGAAUUUACAGAUAAAUCUGAGGAAAAUCGACAUCUUUGUCAUGCAGUCCCCUGGCCAGUACAUAUUGUACCCUCCCAGUUCAGAUCAUCGAGUGCAUGGCUGGUUUGCACUGGGUAAACUCUUGUCUGUUUCUUGAUAGAUUUAUUCCUCAGGCCUUUGCAGGGCUGCCAGCAACUGUGAACGGGGCCCCUCGGCUCUUCUCUACGUGGCCCCUGUUCUCCAUAUUCCAUCUCAAUCUGUUUACUAAUCACCAGGCUUGCUCUGCAGACACACAAAGUAAAUGUUCUUCCUCCCUGGGCACAAACACAUGAGCUCGGCCAAACACACAGAGCUGACAUAAUUAGCUGAAAACAAAUUAGAAUCUUUUCAAAUUAUGUUUUAAUUAAAGAAGCAAAGCAUGAAUACAUUCUUCCAUUUAGAGGUAGAAUGACCAAAUCCACCUGUCUUCUCCUCAGCUGCCCAAGAGCCCGGGGUUUUCUCCUCCAGGAAGCCUUAGUUAAGAGUUUCUGGAUCUCUUUCCAGAGUCACACGCAACAUAGCAUCGAUGCAGGUAUUUGGAGAAAAUGUUCCCCCCAUGGUUGAUGUACAGUAUCUUGCCGUCCGCCUAGGUCACACUCCUGUGUUGCGUGUUUUCCCUUUGAAACACCCACAAGCCUGCAGUAAGUUUUUUCCUCUUUGUUGGAAAAAGUCAUCAGAGAACACCAAGUCACAUGUUUCAGAAACACUCCUUAGAAGACCUGGGUUCGAUUCCCAGCACCCACAUGGCAGCUAACAACCAUCCAUAACUCCAGUUCAAGGGAUCCAACGUCCUCUUCUGACCUCCGUGGGCACUACACAACACGGAUCCACUUAAAUACAUGGAGGCAAUACACAUACACAUAAAAUAAAAAUAAAAUAUCUUUUAAAAAGAAGUUCUCAGAAUAGUAUUGGGAGCCUUGUUCCUAAGCUGUCCACAGUUUGAGUUUUUGGUUUGUGUGGUUUUGAGUUUUUGAAACUGGGUCUCAUGUAUGCCCGGCUAGCCUCAAAUUUACUGUGUAGCUUAGGAUAACCUUGAACUCUUUUUUUUUAAAAAAAAAAAAAAAAAAAUUUAUUUUUUUUUUUAAUUAUGUGUAUAUGUGGGAGGUAGAUGGGUAUGUGCAUGUGAGUGCAGGUGCCUGUGGAAACCAAAGGUGUCAGAUCUCCCAGGAGCAGGAGUUACAGCUGAACCACCUGUUGUGGUUGAUGGAAGUCGAACUGAGGUCCCCUGGAAGAGGAGUAUGUGCUCUUAACCUCUGAGUCAUCUCUCCAGCCCAACCUUGGACUCCUGAUCCACCUGCCUCCACCUCCCAAGUGUUAGAAUUAUAGACCACCAUGCCCAGCCAAAUCUAGAAUCCUAUCUUGCCUUAUGAAGGCCUCUCCUAAUACCAUCUUCACAACCAUUUUUUAAAAUAUUUUUAUUAUUUUAUGUGUAUGAGUAUACUGCCUGCAUGUAUGUGAGUGCACCCGUGUCAUGCAAUGCUGAGGAAGUCAGAAGAGAGCUUCAGAU